AAAUUGAAGAGUUUGAUCAUGGCUCAGAUUGAACGCUGGCGGCAGGCCUAACACAUGCAAGUCGAACGGUAACAGGAAUCAGCUUGCUGAUUCGCUGACGAGUGGCGGACGGGUGAGUAAUGUCUGGGAAACUGCCUGAUGGAGGGGGAUAACUACUGGAAACGGUAGCUAAUACCGCAUAACGUCGCAAGACCAAAGAGGGGGACCUUCGGGCCUCUUGCCAUCGGAUGUGCCCA
rnacentral:rRNA from 1 species